UACGGGGGGGGCAAGCGUUGUUCGGAAUUACUGGGCGUAAAGCGUGCGCAGGCGGUUAUGCAAGACAGAUGUGAAAUCCCCGGGCUUAACCUGGGAACUGCAUUUGUGACUGCAUAGCUGGAGUACGGUAGAGGGGGAUGGAAUUCCGCGUGUAGCAGUGAAAUGCGUAGAUAUGCGGAGGAACACCGAUGGCGAAGGCAGUCCCCUGGACCUGUACUGACGCUCAUGCACGAAAGCGUGGGGAGCAAACAGG
rnacentral:rRNA from 1 species